CCCUUAGAUGUUCUGGGCCGCACGCGUGCUACACUGAGUGGAUCAGCGGGUCAGGUUGCGCGAAAGUGUUUCCUAAUCUUGAAAUCCGCUCGUGAUGGGGAUUGACGGUUGCAAUUUUCCGUCAUGAACGAGGAAUACCUUGUAAGCGCGGGUCAUCAUCCCGCGCUGAAUACGUCCCUGCCCUUUGUACACACCGCCCGGCGCUCCUACCGAUUGAGUGGUCCGGUGAGGCUUUGGGAUCUGAGCGGAAAGAGCGUUUCGCUGUUUCUGCUCGGAAAACUCAGUCGAACCUUAUCAUUUAGAGGAAGGAGAAGUCGUAACA
rnacentral:rRNA from 1 species